rnacentral:rRNA from 1 species
GAUGAACGCUGGCGGCGUGCCUAAUACAUGCAAGUCGAGCGAACAGACGAGGAUCUUGCUUCUCUUACGUUAGCGGCGGACGGGUGAGUAACACGUAUAUAACCUACCUUUAAGACUAACAUACCUUCGGGAAACCUGAUCUCAUACCCGAUCAUAUGUUGAACCUCAUGGUUCAUUAGUGCACGCCCUUUUUGCUGUCACUUAUUCAUGUUUCCUCGCCGGAUUAGCUAGUUGGUAAGGUAGCGGCUUACCAAGGCUACGAUGCGUAGCUGAUCUGAGAGGAUGAUCGGCCACACUGGAACUGAGACACGGUCCAGACUCCUACGGGAGGCAGCAGUAGGGAAUAUUCGGCAAUGGGCGAAAGCCUGACGGAGCAAAGCCGCGUGAGUGAAGAAGGUCUUCGGAUCGUAAAACACUGUUAUUAGGGAAGAACAAAUGUGAAAGAAAAUAUGCAUGUCUUGACGGUACCUACUCAGAAAGCAACGGCUAACUACGUG